GUCUAUAGCCAUACGACCAUGAACGCACCCAGUCUCGUCUGAUGUCAGGAGCAGAGUUGGGCCUGGUCAGUACUUGGAUGGGAAGACACACAGGGAGAAGAUGAUCACAUAAGCA
rnacentral:rRNA from 1 species